AAUGUGUACAUCAUUACCAGAGACUAAAUUUUCAUAUACCCAUGCCAGUCCCUUCCCUACUCCCCUUACUGCUUCCUUGCUCUUAUUUAGGUAAGAAGUCACACCCAGCUGGUGGAGGACUACUUCUCUGAUGCUCUUUCUUACGAAGAAUGGUUGGAAGUAGUGGGAAAUAUCCAGAUUAUCACACAUUUUUUCUUCCCAUUUUGGAAAGGAAUCCUUUCUUUCCUUCAGAGAAAAAGGCAGCGAUAUUGAAGUUUCCACAAAGAGAGUUUGUCCCUUGAGUGUUUUUACAGGCAUUUGUGCUGAAGAGAUGUUAAGAAGAGCAGCAUUUCACAUGAAAUAUAUUCCUGUUGCUCGGGAUUCUGCUUCUUGAUGCUUGUGACGUUGCAACUCCCCAAGUUUCUCAGCCCUCUGAGGAACCCUGCAGCAGAAAUAAGGAAGCCAGAACUUAAUAUCUCUCAUUUUUUAAAAAAACAGAAGCAACAGCACUUCAAGCACAAUGCUUUUGUUCUUUCUCAUGAAGACAACCAGAUACUUUAUGAAUGACCUUGGUGCAUCAUGGGAGGAGAG
rnacentral:lncRNA from 1 species